AAGCUACUACUGCAGUGCAGGAUCAAGUGCCCCAGGCAAGUGGGAGUCCUGAGUUAACUGAGGAUCAGGAGAGCAAUGAGGCAGAGUUAAGUAUCCCAGAAAGACUGCAACUAAGGAUUGAUACUGGCUGGCACAGAGGAGGGCCAACAGUGAACACAUACUGAAGACUUCCAGAGAAGCAAUGGCUGUAUUUACCACUGAAUCUGCAAAGUACCAAUGUGAAGCCAGUGAUGAAAAGCAUCUUAAUCCAUAGCUGCCUCCAAUGAUGUAUGGUCUCCAUGAAAUCACCAAGAUGGGCUCAUGUAAACCUUUCCUCUUGUCCUUUUCUGGUCAACUCAAUCCUUCAUGAUAAAUUUCUUUAUCUGA